AGAUGGCGUAAGCUAUCGCUUUUGGAUGGACCCGCGGCGUAUUAGCUAGUUGGUGAGGUAACGGCUCACCAAGGCAAUGAUACGUAGCCCAACUGAGAGGUUGAUCGGCCACAUUGGGACUGAGACACGGCCCAAACUCCUACGGGAGGCAGCAGUAGGGAAUCUUCCACAAUGGACGCAAGUCUGAUGGAGCAACGCCGCGUGAGUGAAGAAGGCUUUCGGGUCGUAAAACUCUGUUGUUGGAGAAGAAUGGUCGGCAGAGUAACUGUUGUCGGCGUGACGGUAUCCAACCAGAAAGCCACGGCUAACUACGUGCCAGCAGCCGCGGUAAUACGUAGGUGGCAAGCGUUAUCCGGAUUUAUUGGGCGUAAAGCGAGCGCAGGCGGUUUUUUAAGUCUGAUGUGAAAGCCCUCGGCUUAACCGAGGAAGUGCAUCGGAAACUGGAAAACUUGAGUGCAGAAAAGGACAGUGGAACUCCAUGUGUAGCGGGUGAAAUGCGUAGAUAUAUGGAAGAACACCAGUGGCGAAGGCGGCUGUCUGGGUCUGUAA
rnacentral:rRNA from 1 species